rnacentral:rRNA from 1 species
UACGUAGGGUCCGAGCGUUGUCCGGAAUUAUUGGGCGUAAAGGGCUCGUAGGCGGUCUGUUGCGUCGGGAGUGAAAACUUACAGCUUAACUGUGAGCGUGCUUCCGAUACGGGCAGACUUGAGGUAUUCAGGGGAGAACGGAAUUCCGGGUGUAGCGGUGGAAUGCGUAGAGAUCCGGAAGAACACCGGUGGCGAAGGCGGUCUGCUGGGGGUAAUGCUGACACUGAGGCGCGACAGCGUGGGGAGCAAACAGG